rnacentral:lncRNA from 1 species
CUCCUGGUGGGGACGUGCUAGUUUUGGAUACGGCUUGUUUAUCCCUGGCAAAUCUUAUGUUAAAACUUGUGGUGGUGUUGGGAGGGAAAACCUAGUGGGAGAUGCUUAGGUCAUCAUCAAUGGCUUGGUGCAGUUCUUUCAGCAGUAAAUUCUUGCUCUAGUGGGACAGGAUUAGUACUCAUGAGACUGAAUUAGUUCCUGAUACAGUGAGUUGUUAUAAAACCAAGACAACCAUUGUGAAACUGCCUUUGCAAAGAUUAUGACGUGAGAGAAGUCUGGCAUGGCCGCCUCCGUCUUGCCUCUAGCAUCACAGGCUGGCUGUCUCCGCUCAUUCCUGGGCAUGGACGAAGCUAACCAUGAGAAGAAUUUAGUUUACAGUUUAAUUGUGAAGCAAGGAUAAUAAUAGUCGCUUCCUAAAACUGAUCCGCUCCUUGUUUGGAGACUGAAACAGUCUUUGUAAGACAAUGAAAGGUCACAAGAUUAGUAUUCUGAGAGGGGCCUGAAUUCUGCUAAAAUGUUGCUAACUUUGGAGGAAGCCAGCUGCCAUGUCACAAAAAGAUUCAGGAAGCCAUGUGGAGAGGCCCACAUCAUGAGGAACUGAGGUCUUUGCCAAUUACCAGCAAGGAAAUGAGGCCUCCUGCCAACAGCCACGUUAAUGACUUUCUUUCUUCAGCAUUGUGGAUGAAUUAGGUUUUGUCAUGGGGAAAAACAUGAUCUGCAAAUUCAUCAUUUUUUGAGACUGUGAAUAUCAGCAAAACUAUCAACUUUCAGGAAAAUGGAAAGUCUCUCAGAGAUGAAGACUGAAUACAGUGGAGAGAGAACUUCUGGAUUCAAGGACAUUGAAAAUAAUAGCUACUGUCCACUUUCAGGUGAAGUUGAGCAUGGAUGAUAUGAUGUUUGUGAGCCUGAUCAUGUUGUACCCCUAUUAUAUGCUAUGCCACUGCAGCGAUCAAGCUUGUCUAAAACCACCCCUGCCUUCAUACCACUCAAGGAGAAGACAAAUAUAGUUGGUUAUUGGAAGAACCAACAGGAUUUUACAGGAUAAGUAGACAUUUCAUAGAGCUCUUGAAACCUGAAAAUGAUUGACAUUGCUGUGUGAAAGGAAAAUAUCUUGGGCCCCCAAAAUCACUAAGUUAAAGGGAAAAUUCAAGCUGGAAACUGCUUAGGGUAAACCUGCCUCCCAUUCUAUUAAAAGUCAUCCUUCUGCUCACUGAGAUAAAUGCAUGUCUAAUUGCCUCCUUUGAAAGGCUAAUCAGAAACUCAGAAGAAUGCAACCAUUUGUCUCUCACCAACCUGUGACCUGGACCCUCCCCGCUUUGAGUUGUCCCACUUUUGUUUUGAGUUGUCCCGCCUUUCCAGACUGAACCAUUGUUAUAUAUGUUGAUUGAUGUCUCCUGUCUCCCUAAAAUGUAUAAAACCAAGCUGUGCUCUGACUACUUUGAGCACAUGUUGUCAGGACCUCCUGAGGCUGUGUCACAGGCAUGCAUCCUCAACUUUGGCAAAAUAAACUUUCUAAAU